rnacentral:rRNA from 1 species
AUUGAACGCUGGCGGCAUGCCUUACACAUGCAAGUCGAACGGUAACAGGUCUUCGGAUGCUGACGAGUGGCGAACGGGUGAGUAAUACAUCGGAACGUGCCCGAUCGUGGGGGAUAACGCAGCGAAAGCUGUGCUAAUACCGCAUACGAUCUACGGAUGAAAGCGGGGGACUCGCAAGGGCCUCGCGCGGACGGAGCGGCCGAUGGCAGAUUAGGUAGUUGGUGGGAUAAAAGCUUACCAAGCCGACGAUCUGUAGCUGGUCUGAGAGGACGACCAGCCACACUGGGACUGAGACACGGCCCAGACUCCUACGGGAGGCAGCAGUGGGGAAUUUUGGACAAUGGGCGCAAGCCUGAUCCAGCCAUGCCGCGUGCAGGAUGAAGGCCUUCGGGUUGUAAACUGCUUUUGUACGGAACGAAAAGACCUUCUCUAAUAAAGGGGUAGGAAUAGACGGUACCGUAAGAAUAAGACACCGGCUAACUACGUGCCAGCAGACCGG